UACGUAGGGUGCAAGCGUUGUCCGGAUUUAUUGGGCGUAAAGAGCUCGUAGGCGGUCUGUCACGUCGGCUGUGAAACCUCGGGGCUCAACCCCGAGCCUGCAGUCGAUACGGGCAGACUAGAGUUCGGCAGGGGGAGACUGGAAUUCCUGGUGUAGCGGUGAAAUGCGCAGAUAUCAGGAGGAACACCGGUGGCGAAGGCGGGUCUCUGGGCCGAUACUGACGCUGAGGAGCGAAAGCGUGGGGAGCGAACAGG
rnacentral:rRNA from 1 species